AGGAAUUCAUGCCAUUCUUUAAAGUUACGGAGCCAGUAGUAACAGGAGUACACAAUCUUAGGCACUAGAUGAUUCUUUGUCUAAAAGACAAUAUUUCCAGUAACGAGUGCAGUGUUGCCAAAGAUGUAACCCUACAGAGAGAAUCAGAGAAACAAGUGUGCGAGGACACCAAUUUACAGAGCAUACAAAAAUGACUAGACAUCAGUUGGGCGCAACAAGUUCAAUGGACCCUACUGAAGUUGCAACUCAAGAACAUUGCAGAAACCGGACUAUGCAGCCAGUGCUCAAAUAUUCAGGCAAAUGGAUACACGAAGCAAGGGUCUUGAUGUACUGCAGCCAAUUGCCAACAUUUUGACUCUCUCUUUCGCAACCAAGACAAGACAUCACUGGUCAUGGAGAAACAGCAUAGAACAGUACAGACUGUUACAGAGUGCGAACAUAGGCGCCAAUUGCUUCGAUGUAAUCUUCUCCGUGCGCGAAAAAGCCAACAAUUCUGCUAUUGCUCUGCUCCGGAACGUGGAAAGCAGUUCCAAACUCUGUUCCAUAAGGCCCAUAUGAUCUGCCUGUGUUGGUCACAAGUGUAAGAGAAGAUAGAACAUUUUUAACUCCAUGCCAUGCACAAAAUGUUCCGGAAACUUUCACUAUAAACUCUGAAGGGUCAAAACGAAUCUGCAAAAAGGAAAAGAAAAAUUAGUGUACUGGUUAAGAUGCUGGUUAUUCAUUUCUCUAGAAGGUUCGCUGCAUGUGUUUAAUUAAGAGAAGGGAAUAAGUUUCUGUACGACCCAGGAAUGAGACAUUUUUCACCUGGCAUGGAAUGGAAUGAAAGUAAGGAACCAUGCGGGAAAAAAAACAAACGACCUGUAGAUGGAACAACAAUCUAGUCCACAUUGCAUAUCCCGUAGAUUUCAACAGGAUUAAUUAGUGCUAACCUUACGACCGCCACCUCCACAGCCGCCCCAUGGACCUGCAGUGUGCUGCUUGCCGUCAUGGUCACUGUAUAAAAACUCAAGUGAAUCUAUGAUAGUUCCACUAAAAAUUGUCACUCUUUCCAGGUGAUGUGGUGUUACUGUGAUGUCAUGAAGAACCCCUCGAUCUCCACCCCAAGGCCCUAUCCUGGCGACCCCAGGCUAGAAUUAAACCGAUUAAAAUAACAUUAGAAUGAAACUAAAAAUUAUAAAAUAAAACUAAUAUGUAGUAAAUCAGUACCUCUUCAAGUCCAAUUCUUUCCAUCUCAUGGUUUGUGUAGACACCAAUUGCAUCGAGAUAUCGCCCUGCACGCCCAAAGAAACCAACGAUGCAGCCAUUGCUCUCCAUUGGAAUGUGGUCCUCGCCCUUUUCCAAAUGGUCCAUAACUACGAACGUUGGUGACAAACGUAAGCGAUGUUAUAACGUUUACUAGAGUGUUGAAUGAACCGAUUGAUCCUGAUACUCCUGUCAGAAACUCCGAAGGUCCUAGCUUAAACUGCAAGAGAAAGAGAAACAAUAUUUCACAUGGAAAUAUAUCCUCAUAACUAUGACUAGUCAGGUACUAACUUUUAGUCAUAGCUCCUUGGAGGGUUAACAAGAUUUACCAUUAGCAGAACAUAGUUGGUAUGAAAAUUUGGCAGCUCAAGUGAAACAUUUUAGUACCUUGUAUUAACUUAUAAUUUACAAAUCUCUCACAAAGAUUUUUUUAGAAAAUGGAAUCUCUCAGAAAGAUAAAACCCUAGGCUAUUUCUAGAAUUAUACAGGAGUCUAAAUGUUACCACUAGGUUACUCCCAAUACAUUCAUUCAUAGCACACUCACCAAAGAUGAAAUACCAUAUGUAGAGGGAAUGAUAUACCCCUUCCAGUACAUAGUAUCAUACUAUUAUUAUAUUCCUCUGUAGUAACCAUAAGUCAAAUAAUUGAUGUAUUGAUUGUGGACAUGAUUUAACGCAUCAAGAUACUAGUUAUAAAUACCAUUCCUAUUUCAUUACUUACCAUGACAACAAAAUAUCCUAGGUGGCACAAAAUUAGUGUCUACAAUAUUGUGUCCAGUGGCAGUAGCCUUAGACCCUAUUUGGAUCUCACCAACUAAACUUUAGCUGGCUAAACUUCAGCUAAAAACCUAUUUGUAUCCAUAGCUAAAGUUUAGCUAGUAUCUUACCUACCGACCAGAUAAAGUUUAGCUACUGGCUUGUUGCCCCCAGCUAAAGCAGUUAAACUUUAGUUGGGUGGAUCCACAUAGCACCUUGUCUAUUUCUAGUGCACAACAUUGUGGGUAUUAAAUGACUGCCACGUACAUUUUUUUUCUGAUUCAACAAGGAAUUAAAUAAGAGAGAGAGCUUUCGGUCCAUAACCAAGGGUAAGAAACCAUGUGUAAGCUUAUGACACAUUGUCUUGGAUACACAUGCAACAGUUAAUUGACUGAAGGUUCCUAAAAACAUCACUAAUAUGCUACACAUUGGACGAGUUCUAUUAUACUUUUAUUUGUAUGACAUGAGAGUUUUGGAGAGAGUGGCAUUAUACAAUGCAGUGGUGAAUAACCUUAGGAGUCAUAGAAUCAAGAUAGUUAGCUGCCUCGGUUAUGUGCAUGCUGGCAUGCAUGUCUUGAUAUUUAGUCCCCCAGCUUUAAAUAAUGAUGACCUCUAGAAAUGCAAAUUUAACUUUGCGUUGCACACGCCUAAACAACAUCAUUCAUAUAUAGUUAUUUAGGAAAGAGUUAUUCCCUUCACACUCACCGUGUUGUUGUUUCCCCCAUGGCCGCCCCAAGGGCCUGUAGUGUGGUACAGGCCAUCGUGGUCGGUGUACGAAAACUCGAUCGAAUCGAUGAUAACUCCACUGCUAAUUGUAAUGCUGUCCAAACGGUAGGGUGGUAUUUUGAUGUCUUUUGACUCUCCUCCAUCUCCACCCCAUGGACCAAAUUUGGACAGCUCAAGCUGAGGCACACCGAUAAUAUUCAAAAUUAUAAAAGAAAAUUAUCUUUAGAUCGAUUUUGGAGCUAUUUCACAAUGACUAACGCUAACCUUACGAGCGCUACCUCCACAUCCUCCAGAUGGACCUGCAGUGCACUGCUGGCCGUUGUGGUCCUGUAUAAUUAAAUACUCCAGUGAAUUGAUCAUGAAAGUUGCACUGAAAAUUGUUUUUUUUUACCAGGUAAUGUGGUUUUACUGUGCUAUCAUGAUGAACCCCUCCAUCUCCACGCCAAGGCCCAUUUGAGGUGACCCUAGCCUUGAAGUAAAUCAAUUAAGUAUAUAUUAGAAUUGAAAACAUAAAUCAUAAAGUAAAACCAAUAUGAAAUAAAUUAAUUGUACAUCUUGGUCCGUAUAGAAACCGAUUGCUUCGAGAUAUCUCCUAGAAUGCCCAAAGAAACCAACAAUGCAGCCAUCGCUCUGCACUUGAAUGUGGAACGGUCUUCCUCGCGCUCUUCCAAAUGGUCCAUAGCUACGAGCAUUGGUGACAAAUGUAAGCGAUGUUAUAACUUUUUUGAGACCAUUGAAUGAGCCGAUUGAUCCUGAUACUCCUAUCAGAAAGUCCGAAGGACCUAGAUGAAACUGCAAGAGAAAGAAAAACAAUAUUUCACAUUAAUGAAAUAUCCUUCAGACAAAUAUGAGGUAAUAACUUUUAGCCGUACCACCUUAGGGAGAUAUCAAGAUUUACCACGAGUACAACAUAGGAGGUACAUAAAAAUGGUAUCUCAGAUUAUAAUUUCAGAAUGUUUCAAAAAAAAAUCCUAGUUUUUACUUAUGCUUCUCCCCAGUGAGUCCAAAUGUUAGGCUACUUCCAAACCAUUGUUUCAUAGCACACUCAUCGAAUACCAUGCUAUAUGGAGAGAGAUUGAUACAAGCCUUACAAAUACAUAAGAAAAGUUAAUUAUUUUAGAAGUUGUGGUCGUGCCAAAGGGACCAAAAUAUGUGCGUAAUUUCUUUGUUUUCACGUACCCAAGAUGUAACCCCAUGUAGAUAUUGCUUAUGUUUCUCUCUCUUAUUUAAUCACUUGCCAUUUCAGCAAAAUAUCUUAGCUGUCUGUGAAAUGAGACGUAGUCACCCAAUAAGCUUAAACAAUUUAACUUUUUAUGUUGCACACAUCUAAAUAAUAUCAUUUGUAUUUGAACGGAAGGGGUUCUUUCCACACUCACUGAGUUAGUGUUGCCGCCAAAGCCGCCCCAAGGGCCUAUAGUGUGAUACUGGCCAUCGUGGUCAGUGUAUGAAAACUGGAUCGAAUCGAUGACAACUCCACUGCUAAUUGUUACGCUGUCCAAACGGUAGGGUGCAAUUUUGACGUCUCGUGGCUUCCCUCCAGCUCCACCCCAUGGCCCAAAUUUAGCAAGCUUAAGCUGAGGGACACAAAUUAACAUUAAAAUUAAGUGAAAUGGAAGAAAACAAGAUAAAUUGACACUACAAUAGAGAUAUAUGGCUAAAUGCAUUUAUGGAAUGGAACAUUAAAAUAUCCGUGCUGAAGUCUACUACUUAUAUAAACGUGCACUUUUUAGAUGUGUAUGAUGUGUUGUUGUCUCAGCUUAGAAAGAUAUGUAUAUGAAACGUUAAUCUUUGCACAAGAUGUGGCUUAAGUUUGAAAGAUGUAUGGAAUGUGUAAUUUUUGUAUGAAUGUCUGAAUUUGUAAAUAUGUAUCAUGUAUGAAACAACCUUAUAGAGAUGGUUCCAUAGAGAAAAAUAUGUCUUAUGAAAUUAACCGAUGGUUAGUAGAAAACAUGUCUACGUUACUAUUUACCAAUGGCAAAAGUUAUCUAACAUACUGUCUUAUAUAUAUUUUUAUUUUUUAAUUUUCUUUUUAUGUUUAUGGUUUUUUAUAAUGAACCGAUUUAUUUUUUCUAGAUAACUCAACAGAUGCCUCUUCAUGUAAAAAUAUGUUAACUUUUGUCGAUUCAUAUCGACAUAAUGCAAGUUCUGUAAAUUCAUAUCCUCCGUCACUAGUAACCUAGGCCCAAGGGGUAACACAAGUCCCUAACAGUGAGUGUCUACGGAGGCAGCUAAUGAACCUACUUUGGAAAUAAUUUCUAGAGGUGGCCCGUCUAAGCCGAUUUGAUUUUCAGAAUCAUAAAAACUGCAAGAAAAAUAGCAUUUUUUCCUUUAACAUUCAACAAGCCCACUAGCUAAGCACUGCAGUCGCGUGUGUCGAGGCAAAAAGUCACGCACCCAUAUAUGUUUCAUAGGAUUCAAAAUGAAGAAACCUCCACCUUCACGGGAGCCAUCGUUACCACCCCACUUCGCGCUUGUUGCUGAUUGUGAUAAGAGAACCUUUCCUUUAGUAGCUUCAGCGGGAGCGACUUUGAGAAGCUGUCUUCUUAAUAGCACGCCUUUGGAAUUUUUCUUCAAAGGCGGGUCUCCUAAGGGCUCGCCUAUGGAAAUUAAAAAAAUAUAAAAAUAGUUUUAAAAUCUAUUUGAGAACUAGUAAUAAGUUUUAAAAUAAGUUUGUCCUCGCCCAACUUUAUAUAUUAAAAGUUGAGUUUUUUUGUGCUGCAUCUAUUUUUAAUGGUGGUUUCGGAGGUUGCCAUUGAGCCGCUUGACUAUUUCCAAGGGCAAUAGCUCGUUUCAACUAUCUGAUGUCUCCAAAAAUUAUUUUUACUGUUGCGGAGGAGAAGCAUGGAGGGAUCAUCAUAAGAGCACUAGGAUUAUGAUUUAUAUAAUUCAACCUUAUAUUCUUCUAGCUGAAUACAGCUGUGAUGCUAACUUCAUCACCACUGUGGCGCACCAAGAGACGAUGCUAUGUAUUAGAAAUAAUUAUAGUGUAAUUAUUAUUCAAUAAUGUAAAUUAUAUAUAUGAAUGAAGCAAUCUAUUAUUGAGAUUAUUUAUUAGUUAAUUAUGUUUUUUCUUGCAAAAAAGUAAUUUAGUUUCUUUUUCCCAAUCAAUAUGAAAUUGCUAAGAUGCAUGGUAAUCCUUUCUAAGUUUAAAUAUGGGCGUACAUAUGUACAAAAUCCAAAGGAAUGCAUAAAAAACAAAGUAAACCUAUAAUUUUGAUCCCACAUGCCAGCUAAAAAUCUCAAAUUUAAGAUCCAAACUAAAAUUAAAGGUACAAAAAUCCAUUUUAUGUGAAACAACUACCUUUCAAACAUCUAAAAUCGAUCAAAUUCCCACUACAUAGAGAACAAGACUCGCAAGGAAAGAAAUAUCGCACAAAGAUGGGAUGGUUAGUAAUUAAUUAAACUCUAUACAGAGUAUGAAGCUGUUCUUUUCCAAUCCUAGGAAUUGCAUGUGUGUGUAUUUAUUUAGCAUGAAAAUCACAUGACUUCCAACUUGUCGCGCACAAUCAUGUGGGUAGACUAGGUCAGUAUUCUAAGGGCCUCAGAAUAGAACCACCUGGGAUACUUGUUGUAUCAGAUGAGUUUUUUUUACCCUUAUUUCAUAGCAUACCAUUAUACCUUGCAAAAUCUUUGAUUGUUCAAAAACCAAGUUGGUAUGUGUUUUUUUAACCAUUUGAAUAGAGUAUCUGUAAAGUAGUGCCAAGUCUUAAGAAAUUCAGUUUUCCUGGUAGUUGACUAUAUUAGUAAGGCUAUUCCCAAUGGAGGUCGUUUCAUAUGAGUUUCAUUCUCAUUUAAUGGCGUGACACAUCAGCAAUUCUGCUAACAUGGCAUGAUAAUUAUGAAGAGAGAGAAGGCAGCAGUUUCAUCAUGAUGAAACUAUGUAUGCACUGUAUCCAAAACUAUGAAACCUGUUGAAACCAGCAUUGGGGCUAGAGAGUUUCAUUUCGUAUGAUCACGUGCAUCGUAAUUAAAUGCAAUGGCCACCAGCCUAUAAAACUACGAAGUGAAACUAUGCAUUGGAAGGCUUUGUUUUAUUCAUCAAAAUAUCUUGUAGUGCGAAAUGAAACUCCCCAUUGGGAAUUAACAAAUUUGAUGCCCGGAAGUUGUGGUGGUCAUGAAAGGAAGACCGAUUGAAAGGAAAAUACAACAGGUAGUUAACUUUUUGCAACUGUUUCAGCCAGAUUAAUGCUCUUUUCUGUGUUAUCUAGAAGCCACUAGUUUAUACUAUCAUGCAAGUUGAUACCUACUUACCCGGCCAUUUUGAGCAGACCCAACGGCAGAUCGGUUUGCUGCUUCCGUUUCCUCCAGCAUACAUAGGAUAUCAGGCAUAGAUGGCCUAUCCUCUGGUUUAGGCUGCGUGCACCUCUGUGAUAUCUCGAUGCAUGCUUUUAUUUGCUGGUAGCCAAUGUCCAAUUGCGUCUCCUUCAUCUGUGAUGAAUCCUUUACGAGCCUAGUCAUCCAGCUCACCAGUACCUGACUAGGAAUAAUGUAUCUCAUUACUAAAAAAACAUUGAAAAAUACUGGUUGUUUUAACUAUAUUUAUUUAUGUAAAGGGAGUGAUCAAUUAGGCUAGUCUCAGUGCAUUGUAUCCUGUUACAAUAUCCAAGGUUGUCAUGUCAAAUACUAAUACAAAUAUGAUAAACUCUAAUAAUGCAUAGUAUCAUAGGGUUUUUUCCUUAUAGUCACACAAGACAAUUAAUUAUUGUUUGAUUGUGUCUAUGGUAGUGGACCCAAGACAAGUAUCAUAUGAAACAAUUCCAUCCCAAAGCUAGGUCCGCUUUCCAAUCGUGGGAUUUCGUGCCAAAGCUGUAUCUCCACGACGGUACAUGUUUUUCUCUCUUUAUUAAUUCGUUAAGUUAGAAAAAAGUCCUACAUGGCAUCUAAUUGAUGUGCAUGAUGCUAAUAAGCAUUCUAAAUUAUAUGUUUCUUUAAUUUUAUCCUAUAUCAAACUAAAUUUGAACAAAUUUACAGAAGAAUACACUAUCAAGACAUAUUUAAUUUCAUUGUAUAUUUAAUAAUUUGAUGUUGUAAAUGUUAAUAUAUAUGUUUUCUACAAACUUUGUCAAAGUUAGACAGGUUUGACUUAGGACAAAGCUAAAGCAUACAUCUUGGUCAGACGUAGCUCCGGUGUUACGUCCCUUCACCAUGUGUCCAAUUAUCACACCCAAACUAUAUAUGUCUGCCUUGACUGUGAUUACUCCACUGUCUAUGUACUCGGGUGCCAUGUAUCCCCUGCAUGCAUGGAAAACGACAAUGUCAAGGUGGGAUCCAAACUGAAAGCUGACACCAGGAAAAAACAUAUGGACAGAUAGUAUGCAUGAUUAACUAUGAACCUCUCUCAGGGAAAUUAUAGACUUAGCUCACCGUGUUCCACAUAUCUUUUCAGUGAUUGUGCGGCUUUCUUUAUUUAAGAGCCUUGACAGACCAAAAUCCGCAAUUUUGGGCACCAUGCCAUCAUCAAGCAAUAUAUUAUCUGGUUUGAGAUCUAGAUGAACUAUGUGCCUCUCAUGCAGAUAAUCCAAACCGAGACAAAUUCCUUUUAUUAUUUGGUAACAAACACGCCAUUGAAGCCCACAAGGUUCGACUACAUAAAUAGACACAUGAAUAUCAAUCAACAUAUGUCAACAAUGCUAAAAAAAUAAAUAUCCAGAUAUUUUUACUAAAAACAGUAUCCUAAGUCAAACUUUUUUAACUUUCAUAAAUUUUUAGAAAAAUAUAACUUUAGAUAUUGGUAUAUUUUUCUAUAAAUUUAGUUAAACUUAAAAUUUAGACUUAGGACAAAAUCUAAAGUGAGCUAUAACUUGGAAUGUAGAGCGUAUAAAAAUUAGGGGGUGUUUGGGAGAGGGGUGCUAAAUUUUAGCACCCCCAUUUUAGUCACUUUUAGCCACUAGUGCUCCCAAACACCUAGGCUAAAAUGGAGGGGCUAAAUUUUAGCCCCUCAUAAUCCAUUAGCCCCUCAAGAGGUGCUAAAAUGGACUAAAGGGGCUAAAAGUGGUCCCCCUUAUCCAAAAUUUCUCCCCUUGCCCCUCUCUCUCUCCUCCCUCCCACUCCUCCAACAUGGGUAAAUAGGUCUUUUAUCAACAUAGGUGCUAAACUUUAGCCCCUUACCCAAACACCCCAAGGGCUAAACUUUAGCCUCAACUUUUGAGAGGGCUAAAGUUUAGCCCAAGGCUAAAUUUUAGCCCCUCCUCCCAAACAAGGCCUUAAUAUGUUGACUAAACCUUGUUACUUUGGCAUAACAAGCACAUUACACUUUUUCAACAUAAGGCCAUAAUUCUAUCUAUGAUAGUGGGCCAGUGGCUGCUUGGUAACAUGUUUUUCCGCCACCUGAUGACAAGAGAAGGUACCUCAAUUUCUUUGUGGAAAUUUGACUACGACAUACAGCAAAAGAGUGUGAUUUUAUUUACAGGACAGUAGAUUAGUCGAUUUACAUGCAGAACGUGACUUUUAUCAACGGGAUCCUGUGGGAAGGGACCAGCAUGCAUUUUCCCCCCACUAGUAAAGAACUCACCUUCCAUCCACCCCUUUUGUCCCGGUUAAUAUUUGGCCCAUGACUAAAAGUGGCGCCCCACCGAAGGCCAGCACGGGGGCGGAGCUUUAGUCCCGGUUGGUAUUUACAACCGGGGCUAAAGCCCCCCUUUAGUCCCGGUUGUAACGGUUGGAAAAUUUGCACCGGCGCCUCCUCCUUUUGUCAUGGUUGGUAACUCCAACUGGGACAAAAGGUUUACUCCGGGUUGGUAAUUCCAACCAGGACAAAAGGCUGAGGCUUUUUCCAACCGGGACAAAAGGCUGAGGCUUUUGUCCCGGUUGAAGUUUCCAAUCGGGACUUAACUACCAACCAAGAUAAAUUUGUUUUUUUAUCCCGGUUGGAUAUCCCGGUUGGAAUUUCCAACUGGGACAAAAUCUCCUUCCCUAUAAAGUCACCAUACAGAGACCUCUUUUUUCUCCUCCAGCCCGAGCCACUUGGCUCCACCAGAGACAUUCGGCCUCCUCUCCAUGGCAACGAAGCAACCCUAGGGGAGAUGUUGCCCGAAUUUUUUUUUUCCUUAUUUCUGUGGGGAUUUCACUCAUCCAAAGUGUUGUAAAAGUUAGCUACUUCGUGCUCCCUUCAUUUAUUAUUAUUAUGCUUUAUUUUAUGCUUUAGAGAGGGAGAGAAAUGAGUUUUUUUAGAAUGAGGAAGAAUGAAAAGGAUUUUUAUUUAUACAUGUUUUUGAGCUAGAAUGUGAUGGAUAGCUUACUUGUUAAAUACGAUUCAUAUUAGUUAAAAGAACUUGAUCAAUAUUAGGUAUGAAAAAAUAUAGUAAAUGUGUUUUUAGUAUUUAGUCAUUGCAAUAAAAUUAAGGUAAAUAAAUUGUAGGUGUAAGAAAAUAGAACAGUAAGGAUUAGGAUACACCACCAUACAAACCAAAUAGUUGAAAUAGCACAGUAAUGAUGGAGAUCAUGAAGUACAAACCAAAUGUUCUUCUCCAUGUCUUCUACAUCUCCAACUUUCCAGUACGUAUGAAGUUUGCACAUUUUGUAUAUUCUAUAACACGAAUAUUUCUAUGUGAAUACUACGUCUGUGAGUUCCUAUACAGUUUUGUGGGACCCAAGGCCAUGAUUAUGCCGCAUGAGCAGCAAGUAGGUAAAAUAAAUUUAUUAAUACUUAAUUAUUUUCUAGCUCCUUAUAUUUAAUUGUUUGUGUAACACAUAUUUCCAAAUUACAGAUGUGGAAUAUUCAACGUAGAAUCUUGGAGAAGGAGAGAUUAUGGGCAAUAUGUGAAGGUCUCGUGGGAUUCCUAGUGGACGAGGUGAUAAAUUCAGCGGGAGAAUUUCAUUACGACGGACGUUCAUUAGACGCACCGAGCAACACCUCGACGGGAGGAUCCUAGGAAUGACCGGGACAAAUUUUUGUAUAUAUAGUAAUUGUUUAAAUACUAGUUUGAUUUGUAUAAUAUGCUAAAAAUUGUAUAGUAUACUAAGAAAUGUAUAUAUAGUAAUUGUAUAAAUACUAAUUUGAUUUUAUUAAAAAAAGUCUUAGUACUAAAGGGGUACAUGCAUGCACCAUGCAGGCACAUGCAUGGAUGCCCUUUACUUCCGGUUAAACGAUCAGGGACUAAAGACCUCCCCUUUCAUCUCGAAAAUUUUAUCCUGGAUAGAUUUUAGAGAGAUUUGAGGUCUACCAUCCAGGACUAAUGCCGAGUUUUCUACCAGUGCCCUCAGUUCACAAAUUAAAAUCUCUUCAAAAUUUGCAAAAUGAUAUAAUGCUCUAAUAUGAUACUUGUGAAUUUAAAUGAUUUUUUGGAAUUAUUUGCUUGGGUUUCCAAAAUCAUUUCAGGUUGGGGCCAGGAAUGCCGAACAAAAUAUAAUGAAAACAAUCCAUAAAAAUCCAUAAAAGACCAAAUGGUAAAUUGAAUAUUGCGCCAUUAUCUAUGUUUCAGCAUAUAUUAUGUUCUAUGCAUGGAGAAAAAUUAUUCAUAAUGGUGUUUUCCCAUGUUUCAGUGUUCGAGCACAAAAGCUAUGUAUUUGUGCAGCGAUCUAGGCAAAAUCGAUUAGUCAAAUAUCCUGUGAAUAAAACAUUUUUUUUGAGGUUUGUUGUAGAACUAAUUUCGCAGCUGUACAACUUUAAUUUACAUUUUAAUAGCUCUAGAAUAUGUCCUACUUACCAAUAUACUUGUGUUAAAUACUUGACAGUUUGAACAUCAUGUAGUCAAAUUUGUAAAACUCGAACAAUCACUAAGUUUUAAAAUAUCAGUCUAAAUCUGUCUUGGAAAGAACAACCAAAGUCUCAUAAAUUUGUUAGAUAUUUAAAACGCAUUCAAGUAUAGAAAGUAGUGUUUAAACGUGUGCACAUAAAAAAACAUGCUAAAUAAAAAACAUAAAGUAUUUUGAACUGGACGUUGUACUUAGAAAAGAAAAUCCAUCCAUUCUGAGUGACUAGAUCACAUGUUUGUUCCACAGUCAUACCUGUAAGAUGCUUGCCAAGGCUUCCAUUACGCAAAUACUUGAAGCAAAGUAAUUUUUCUCGUGUUUCCGCGAAAAUAUUUUUCACUCCUUGUGGCACCACCUCUACCUGCGUGUCAGCACAGUACCCAACAAACCAGACUAUGUUGUGGUGCCUAAUCUUCAUCAGACAACCAACCUCGCGAUUAAAUGUUUCAUCUUCGAUUGCAUAAGAUGAGUAUAACUUCUUGACAGCAACAAAGCCAGUUGUUCCAAGGACUCCCUGUGUGAUUUCAACUAUACCUUCCUUAAUUAUUGACUAUUGUGUAAUAUUAUAUUUCCAGGAGCAUUUAUCUAUUUAAUAGAAAAAGGUAGAAUGACUAAAAAUAAAUAAUCUAUAAACUCCGAUAAAAUAUUUGGUCAUUUAUUUUGGUGAAUGUCUUGUGAGCAUAAAUAUUAUAUUUAAAUAGACUAGAUCAUUGACACUACGAAGCAUGCCGGCUAGCUCUUUCUGGUGGAGGAUGUAUUGACACUAUCCCAAAACUUUUUCAUGAUGGCAAUUUGCACAGCUCAUAAGGGGGACUCAGUUCUGUGUGGCGAUGAUCUGCUAGCCCUUUCUUUCCCCUUCUAACUAGUAAGACCUUGAUAGUGUAUUGCCCCAUACUGAAUGCUUUGAGAUGUAAAUCAUGUCAAAAUUUUGUCCGUUCAGAUGAAGAAAGUGAACUAAUUAUAGAAUGGAAUGAUUUUUAUUGUAAAACUUAAAAAAAAUUGCAAUUAGGAAAAAAAAAUCCCACGU
rnacentral:lncRNA from 1 species